rnacentral:rRNA from 1 species
GACGAACGCUGGCGGCGUGCUUAACACAUGCAAGUCGAACGGAAAGGCCCUGCUUUUGUGGGGUGCUCGAGUGGCGAACGGGUGAGUAACACGUGAGUAACCUGCCCUUGACUUUGGGAUAACUUCAGGAAACUGGGGCUAAUACCGGAUAGGAGCUCCUGCUGCAUGGUGGGGGUUGGAAAGUUUCGGCGGUUGGGGAUGGACUCGCGGCUUAUCAGCUUGUUGGUGGGGUAGUGGCUUACCAAGGCUUUGACGGGUAGCCGGCCUGAGAGGGUGACCGGCCACAUUGGGACUGAGAUACGGCCCAGACUCCUACGGGAGGCAGCAGUGGGGAGUAUUGCACAAUGGGCGGAAGCCUGAUGCAGCAACGCCGCGUGCGGGAUGACGGCCUUCGGGUUGUAAACCGCUUUCGCCUGUGACGAAGCGUGAGUGACGGUAAUGGGUAAAGAAGCACCGGCUAGCUACGUG